UACGGAGGGGGCUAGCGUUGUUCGGAAUUACUGGGCGUAAAGGGCGCGUAGGCGGCCGCCUAAGUCAGAUGUGAAAUCCCCGAGCUCAACUUGGGAACUGCGUUUGAAACUACAGGACUAGAAUAUGUCAGAGGGGGGUAGAAUUCCACGUGUAGCAGUGAAAUGCGUAGAGAUGUGGAGGAAUACCAAUGGCGAAGGCAGCCCCCUGGGAUAAUAUUGACGCUCAUGCACGAAAGCGUGGGGAGCAAACAGG
rnacentral:rRNA from 1 species